AGUCUCUAAAUUCCUCCUCAUUGCAUCGUUCCUUCUUUCCUUAAAAGAAUAGACCAAAUGUGUGAUUUAAUCAUAACCAAUAGUAACUGGGUUAAAAUAAGAAAGUCAAUAAAGUAAAAAUUCAAGUAACCUAAGCCUUGUUCCAUUGUCCAAGUCGGUUCUUCUCUUUAAAAAGAACACAAAAAUAUAAAACUUUCCUUGUCACCUAGUGAGUAUAACCAUAGCUUCUAAUCAUUGUAAGGAGCUUUGGAUGUUCAUCUUUUCUACUCUUCGUCAUGCGACACCAUGGCUGACCUCUUGGUGAAAUGAUGUGUUUUGAAGUUGAAGAAUUAGUCUACUAGAAAUGUUAUAAGGUUGAAGAACAAGUUUGAGAAGCAUUGGAUUAAAUUUGUGAGAUUCAAGUAAGCAUUGGAUUUGAGCUUUUACAGAUGAUGUUGGAGCAUCCAUUCGAGGAGGCCAUAGUAAAGUGUAUAUGUAUAUGACAUGUUUUAAAUGUAUUUUGAGAGAUCCUAUGUAUAUGUUAGAUGAACAGGUAUAGGAUUUACAUUUGACAGCCAUUGAUAUAUUUUGAUGUAUUUUGGUGGACUUAGCCUAUGCUCACUUUCUUUGGUAUCUCAUGUUG